AAAACCCUAGUUCGUGGAUAUUAUAUUUAUAAAUUGGUAGGUUUUCAUUUUUUUUUCCUUUUGGUAAAGCUUAUAGUCCCGGAUCUCUAAAACCCUGAAUAAGCAGAGGGCUCCGGAUCAGUGCACUGUUUUCCGUCUAACUGAGUAAGGGUUCAAUGGCUUCUAAUAGCAAUGCCCCAAAUGCUUUGGAAAAAGAGCAGAUCUUUGGAAUGGCAGAGAAGGAGAUGGAGUACAGGGUCGAGUUGUUUAACAAGCUUACACACACAUGUUUCAACAAGUGCGUUGAUAAAAAGUACAAGGAGUCUGAACUAAAUAUGGGUGAAAAUAGUUGCAUUGAUCGCUGUGUAUCAAAGUAUUGGCAUGUUACUAAUUUAAUUGGCCAGCUGCUUGGUUCUGGUCGACCUCCCAUGUGAAGAAUUUAAAGCAUGUUGAUUGAGAUUUAUUCUUCAGUAGUGUUCUGGUUCCUUAUGCUAUACAAUAUAUACAUAUAUGGAGAGCCCUUGAUUAUUUUGCCCUUACAGUCAAAACCAGAAGUUGCUGUUGCACCUACUAUGGAAGUAUUUGGUGCCGAAUUUAUAGUGGAUGGAGCAGAUGGAAGGAAACCCUGGUUCCCAUCACCUUGUGGAUCCGAGAUUUGGACUCCCACCAAGUUGUAAAAGAAGAUCUAGAGGUGUACUGAUCAAGUAGUUGAAUCCUACAGAGGCUCAUUUGUUUUCCUAGCCAAAAAAAUUUAUUGCUGAUUUCUUAAGACCAUAUUAUUUAUUUUUAUUUCAUUUUGAUGUCAGAAGCUCUUAUCAUUGGUCAUUUUAAGGAACUGAUAUGUCCAGCAUUACAACUUGUGGAAUACGAAACUCAUAAUUGAUAUCAUAUAAUGAUAUAUCA